GGGUCAGUAGGUUGGUCGUGCCACCGGUACGUACUGGUCUCACUGAUUCCUCCUUCCUGAAGAACCGUAAUGCCAUUAGUUUGGUGCUGCGGGGAAACAGGACUGUUACUUUGAAAAAAUUAGAGUGUUUAAAGCAAGCUAACGCUUGAAUACAUUAGCAUGGAAUAAUGAAAUAGGACGAUCGAUCCUAUUUUGUUGGUUUCUAGGAUUGACGUA
rnacentral:rRNA from 1 species